rnacentral:rRNA from 1 species
GGGCUCACACAAGCGGUGGAGCAUGUGGCUUAAUUCGAUGCAACGCGAAGAACCUUACCAGGGUUUGACAUCCUGCGAAUUUUCUGGGAAACCGGAAAGUGCCUUCGGGAGCGCAGUGACAGGUGGUGCAUGGCUGUCGUCAGCUCGUGUCGUGAGAUGUUGGUUAAGUCCCGCAACGAGCGCAACCCACGUCUUUAGUUGCCAGCAUUUAGUUGGGCACUCUAGAGAGACUGCCGGUGAUAAACCGGAGGAAGGUGUGGAUGACGUCAAGUCAUCAUGCCCCUUACAUCCUGGGCUACACACGUACUACAAUGCUACGGACAAAGGGCAGCAAGUUCGCGAGGACAAG